GCUGGCGUCUUCGGCGUCCGCAUUGUAAUCUCAAGAAGUGUUUUCCGCUUCGUACCAAGCCUAAAUCCCCUGGAAAGGGGCAUCAUAGAGGGUGAUAAUCCCGUACAUGGCUUGGAGCGCCCGAGGCUUUGUGAUACGCUUUCUAAGAGUCGAGUUGUUUGGGAAUGCAGCUCAAAAUGGGUGGUAAAUGCCAUCUAAGGCUAAAUAUUGGGGAGAGACCGAUAGCGAACAAGUACAGUGAUGGAAAGAUGAAAAGAACUUUGAAAAGAGAGUUAAACAGUACGUGAAAUUGCCAAAAGGGAAGGGUAGGAGGUCAGAGAUGCGGCCUGGGAUUCAGCCUUGCUUUUGCUUGGUGUUUUUCCCAGAUUGCAGGCCAACGUCGGUUUUGGGCACUGGAGAAGGGUAGGAGGAACGUGGCACCCCUCGGGGUGUGUUAUAGCCUCCUACUGGAUACAGCGACCGAGACCGAGGACAGCAGCGUACUCGCAAGAGCGGGCCUUCGGGCACCUUUACGCUUAGGGCGUUGGCAUAAUGGCCCUCUACCACCCGUCUUGAA
rnacentral:rRNA from 1 species